CCUACGGGAGGCAGCAGUGGGGGAUAUUGCACAAUGGGGGAAACCCUGAUGCAGCGACGCCGCGUGGGCGAAGAAGUAUUUCGGUAUGUAAAGCCCUAUCAGCAGGGAAGAAGAAAUGACGGUACCUGAGUAAGAAGCACCGGCUAAAUACGUGCCAGCAGCCGCGGUAAUACGUAUGGUGCAAGCGGUAUCCGGAUUUACUGGGUGUAAAGGGAGCGCAGGCGGCACGGCAAGCCUGAUGUGAAAGCCCGGGGCCCAACCGAGGGUCUGCAUUGGGAACUACCGAGCUGGAGUGCCGGAGAGGUAGGCGGAAUUCCUAGUGUAGCGGUGAAAUGCGUAGAUAUUAGGAGGAACACCAGUGGCGAAGGCGGCCUACUGGACGGUGACUGACGCUGAGGCUCGAAAGCGUGGGGAGCAAACAGGAUUAGAUACCCCUGUAGUC
rnacentral:rRNA from 1 species